GUCCUGGUGUGCGUAUGGCGCGGCACCCUUGAUCGAACUCCUGAAGCGGGUGUCGCAGGUUCGAAUCCUGCCGAGGGCACCA
rnacentral:tRNA from 1 species